UACGAAGGGGGCUAGCGUUGUUCGGAAUCACUGGGCGUAGAGCGCACGCAGGCGGAUUGAUAAGUCGGGGGUGAAAUCCCGGGGCUCAACCUCGGAAUUGCCUUCGAUACUGUCUGUCUUGAGUCCGGGAGAGGUGAGUGGAAUUCCUAGUGUAGAGGUGAAAUUCGUAGAUAUUAGGAAGAACACCAGUGGCGAAGGCGGCUCACUGGCCCGGUACUGACGCUCAUGUGCGAAAGCGUGGGGAGCAAACAGG
rnacentral:rRNA from 1 species